rnacentral:tRNA from 1 species
AUUGCUUUGGCAGAUUAGUGCAUUAAAUUUAGAAUUUAAUUAUGUAGUUAGAAUUACAAGUAAUA